rnacentral:rRNA from 1 species
GGCUACCACUUCCAAGGAAGGCAGCAGGCGCGCAAAUUACCCAAUCCCGACACGGGGAGGUAGUGACAAUAAAUAACAAUACGGGGCUCUUUCGGGUCUCGUAAUUGGAAUGAGUACAAUUUAAAUCCCUUAACGAGGAACAAUUGGAGGGCAAGUCUGGUGCCAGCAGCCGCGGUAAUUCCAGCUCCAAUAGCGUAUAUUAAAGUUGUUGCAGUUAAAAAGCUCGUAGUUGAAUUUCGGGAUUGACGUGAUGGUCGUGCCUUAAGGGGUAUGAACUGUCGCAGUUGAUUUCUCACCUUCUGGAGAAGCAUGAUGUCCUUAAUUGGGUGUCAUGUGGAACCAGGACCUUUACCUUGAAAAAAUUAGAGUGUUUAAAGCAGGCAUUUUGCUCGAAUACAUUAGCAUGGAAUAAUAGAAUAGGACGGCAUGGUUCUAUUUUGUUGGUUUCUAGGAUCACCGUAAUGAUUAAUAGGGAUAGUUGGGGGCAUUAGUAUUCAAUUGUCAGAGGUGAAAUUCUUGGAUUUAUUGAAGACUAACUACUGCGAAAGCAUUUGCCAAGGAUGUUUUCAUUAAUCAAGAACGAAAGUUAGGGGAUCGAAGACGAUCAGAUACCGUC